GACGAACGCUGGCGGCGUGCUUAACACAUGCAAGUCGAGCGGAAAGGCCUUUCGGGGUACUCGAGCGGCGAACGGGUGAGUAACACGUGAGUAACCUGCCCCUGGCUUUGGGAUAACCAUCGGAAACGGUGGCUAAUACCGAAUAUUCACUUCCUGCCGCAUGGUUGGUUGUGGAAAGUUUUUCGGCUGGGGAUGGGCUCGCGGCCUAUCAGCUUGUUGGUGGGGUGAUGGCCUACCAAGGCUUUGACGGGUAGCCGGCCUGAGAGGGCGACCGGCCACACUGGGACUGAGACACGGCCCAGACUCCUACGGGAGGCAGCAGUGGGGAAUAUUGCACAAUGGGCGGAAGCCUGAUGCAGCGACGCCGCGUGAGGGAUGACGGCCUUCGGGUUGUAAACCUCUUUCAGCAGGGACGAAGCGAAAGUGACGGUACCUGCAGAAGAAGCGCCGGCCAACUACGUGCCAGCAGCCGCCGUAAUAC
rnacentral:rRNA from 1 species